rnacentral:rRNA from 1 species
GAUGAACGCUGGCGGCGUGCUUAACACAUGCAAGUCGAACGGUGAAGCAGAGCUUGCUCUGUUGAUCAGUUACGAACGGGUGAGUAACACGUGAGCAACCUGCCCCUGACUCUGGGAUAAGCGCUGGAAACGACGUCUAAUACUGGAUAUGAGCUACGACCGCAUGGUCAGCAGUUUGGAAGAUUUUUCUGUCUGGGAUGGGCUCACGGCCUAUCAGCUUGUUUGUGCGGUAAUGGCUCACCAAGGCGUCGACGGGUAGCCGGCCUGAGAGGGUGACCGGCCACACUGGGACUGAGACAAGGCACAGACUCCUACGGGAGCGAGCAGUGGGGAAUCUUGAACAAUGGGCGAAACCCUGAUGAAGAAACGCCGCGUGAGGGAUGACGGCCUUAGGGUUGUAAACCUCUUUUAGAAGGGAAGAAGCGCGAGUGACGGUAACUGAAGCAAAAGCGCCGGCUAAAUACGUG